rnacentral:rRNA from 1 species
GUAAUCCAGAGCUAAUACAUGCAAACGAGCGCUGACCUCGGGGAUGCGUGCAUUUAUCAGACCCAAAACCCAUGGCCUCGGCCCCCCGGCCGCUUUGUGACUCUAAUAACUCGGCCGAUGCGCCUCCGCGGCGGCGACGUCUCAUUCGAAU